CACAGCCAGUUGUUAGGGUCCUAUCCACAGAGACCAGGUCUACCCGUAGUAGACAACACAGUCAGUUGUUAGGGUCCUAUUCCACAGAGACCAGGUCUACCAGUAGUAGACAACACAGUCAUUGUUAGGGUCCUAUUCCCCCAGAGACCAGCUACACACUAGUAGACAAACACAGUCAGUUGUUAGGGUCCUAUUCCACAGAGACCAGGUCUACCAGUAGUAGACAACACAGUCAGUUGUUAGGGUCCUAUUCCACAGAGACCAGGUCUACCAGUAGUAGACAACACAGUCAGUUGUUACGGUCCUAUUCCACAGAGACCAGGUCUACCAGUAGUAGACAACACAGUCAGUUGUUAGGGUCCUAUUCCACAGAGACCAGUCUACCAGUAGUAGACAACACAGUCAG
rnacentral:lncRNA from 1 species